CCAAUCCCCUUGCCCGCCUCCACCCACGCCCAGCCGCUCAGUGCCAGCGAGCCACGUUUUCCAGGCCCCUGAACCGGCAUCCGGCUGCGCGUGCUUCUUGCAACUCGCCGAGAAGGCCACGAGACCCCUCCUGACACGCACGAGAAAACUGAGGCCCAAGGCUGAAAGCGACCUGCCCAGGCCCCCCCCAGAGUGAGUUCUCCCGGAGUCUGGCUACAACCCUACCUUCUGACCCCCGGUCCUAAGCAAGGCCACCCCGGGACUAUGCAGCAGACUUCACUGAUCAAGCGAGACUUCCUGUGGGGAAACGCAAGGAGAAGAAAUAACUUUGAAUUGUGCAUGUCACAUAACUGCCCAAGGGGAAAUACAGCCAAUACCCGUUAAACGUU